rnacentral:rRNA from 1 species
GCCUAAAGCGUCCGUAGCCUGCUUUGUAAGUUUUCGGUUAAAUCCAUAUGCUCAACAUAUGGGCUGUCGGGAAUACUGCAUAGCUAGGGAGUGGGAGAGGUAGACGGUACUCCAUAGGAAGGGGUAAAAUCCUUUGAUCUAUGGAUGACCACCUGUGGCGAAGGCGGUCUACCAGAACACGUUCGACGGUGAGGGAUGAAAGCUGGGGGAGCAAACCGGAUUAGAUACCCGGGUAGUCCCAGCUGUAAACUAUGCAAACUCAGUGAUGCAUUGGCUUGUGGCCAGUGCAGUGCCGCAGAGAAGUCGUUAAGUUUGCCGCCUGGGAAGUACGUACGCAAGUAUGAAACUUAAAGGAAUUGGCGGGGGAGCACCACAAGGGGUGAAGCCUGCGGUUCAAUUGGAGUCAACGCCAGAAAUCUUACCCGGAGAGACAGCAGGAUGAAGGUCAAGCUGAAGACUUUACCAGACAAGCUGAGAGGUGGUGCAUGGCCGUCGCCAGCUCGUGCCGUGAGAUGUCCUGUUAAGUCAGGUAACGAGCGAGAUCCUUGCCUCUAGUUGCCACCAUUACUCUCAGGAGUAGUGGGGCGAAUUAGCGGGACCGCCGUAGUUAAUACGGAGGAAGGAAGGGGCCACGGCAGGUCAGUAUGCCCCGAA